rnacentral:rRNA from 1 species
UGGGGAACAUUGCACAAUGGGCGCAAGCCUGAUGCAGCGACGCCGCGUGGGGGAUGACGGCCUUCGGGUUGUAAACCUCUUUCAGCAGGGACGAAGCGAAAGUGACGGUACCUGCAGAAGAAGCACCGGCCAACUACGUGCCAGCAGCCGCGGUAAUACGUAGGGUGCGAGCGUUGUCCGGAAUUACUGGGCGUAAAGAGCUCGUAGGUGGUUUGUCGCGUUGUUCGUGAAAAACCGGGGGGCUUAAACCCCUCGGGCGUGGCGGGCGAUACGGGCAGACUAGAGUACUGCAGGGGAGACUGGAAUUCCUGGUGUAGCGGUGGAAUGCGCAGAUAUCAGGAGGAACACCGGUGGCGAAGGCGGGUCUCUGGGCAGUAACUGACGCUGAGGAGCGAAAGCGUGGGGAGCGAACAGGAUUAGAUACCCUGGUAGUCCACGCCGUAAACGGUGGGUACUAGGUGUGGGUUUCCUUCCUUGGGAUCCGUGCCGUAGCUAACGCAUUAAGUACCCCGCCUGGGGAGUACGGCCGCAAGGCUAAAACUUAAAGGAAUUGACGGGGUCAUAGCUGUUUCC